AAUCAAUCAUGUUGCAGCCUCAUGACACAGGGUGGAGUCACGCUGCUGAUGCGCUCGUUGCGUUGCUGUGACGCUCCUGUGGAAGGGGGGGGGGGCGAGGAGAGGUCAGCUGAAUUAACAGUUUCAGACAGAGUUGGGGUUUCGGCACUCUAUUCCACCCACGCACUGUAAAUAUAGGUUAAUGAAGUAGCCUGUAGGCAGACGACAGGAGAGUGUGUUACCUUUGUUUGCUGGUGACAUUGCCGCAUGCAGCAUGAAGGGACCUCGCCAGCUCCGCAACCUUUUAUUUCAGCAAUUAAGGGACCAACACUGACGAGGGGGGACCUGAAAUGCAUGCUGAAAUUUUAUAUGAGAGCCUCCCUCCUAACUGUAUCAGCACCGAACCACAUAGAAAGUCGUAUGAAAAUGAAUAGCUGUGAUCUCCAAAUGAAAGGGAGAUCACACUAUUUGCUUAAAGGACCACAUCUAUGCCCGCUAAUAGGUUUCAUUGGCUCAAUCUGUUUUUUUCCGGUGGAGUUCAGAAACAGGCCCGUGUUUAAUCUGAGGCCGGAAUAGAUUUUUGAAUGGCUUGGUUUGAUUAAAUCUGUAGACGUGUUAACUGCCAAAACUCAAAAUGCUAAAAUACUCCCAGUGAUUUGCUCACCACUUUCGCAUGAUUUUCCUUGACAUGUGGGUUUUUGAUUUGAUUCUGCUGCGUUUAUACCUUAGCAGCCAUCGAAUGCCAGGCGUCUCAGACGAGCACAGGCUCUUGAAUUGAACCCUGAUGCAGGAACAAGUUGUGAGCAAAACAAAAGCCAGCUACUGAAUGGCAAGGACAUUUAUCAGUCGAAUAUUGAAUAUCUGUGAGUGAAUCAAUAACAAAUAAACCAAUUAAAUAAACAC